UAUCAUGUAAAUCUAAACUCA
rnacentral:piRNA from 1 species